rnacentral:rRNA from 1 species
GUAGCCGGCCUGAGAGGGCGACCGGCCACACUGGGACUGAGACACGGCCCAGACUCCUACGGGAGGCAGCAGUGGGGAAUAUUGCGCAAUGGGCGAAAGCCUGACGCAGCAACGCCGCGUGAGGGAUGACGGCCUUCGGGUUGUAAACCUCUUUCAGCAGGGAAGAAGCGAAAGUGACGGUACCUGCAGAAGAAGCACCGGCUAACUACGUGCCAGCAGCCGCGGUAAUACGUAGGGUGCAAGCGUUGUCCGGAUUUAUUGGGCGUAAAGAGCUCGUAGGCGGUUAGUCACGUCGGAUGUGAAAUCCCGGAGCUUAACUCCGGGCCUGCAUUCGAUACGGGCUGACUCGAGUAUUGUAGGGGAGACUGGAAUUCCU